UUCGGUGGUUAUGGCGAAGGGGAAACACCCGGUCCCAUCCCGAACCCGGAAGUUAAGCCCUUCAGCGCCGAUGGUACUGCAUGGGAGACUGUGUGGGAGAGUAGGACGCCGCCGGAC
rnacentral:rRNA from 1 species